GACGUCAAGUCAGCAUGGCCUUUAUGUCCAGGGCUACACACGUGCUACAAUGGCCGAUACAAACCGUCGCGAGCCCGCGAGGGGGAGCUAAUCGGAAAAAGUCGGUCUCAGUUCGGAUUGUAGGCUGCAACUCGCCUGCAUGAAGUCGGAAUCGCUAGUAAUCGCGGAUCAGCAUGCCGCGGUGAAUACGUUCCCGGGCCUUGUACACACCGCCCGUCACAUCACGAAAGCUGGCUGUACUAGAAAUCGUCGCGCUAACCCGCAAGGGAGGCAGACGCUUAAGGUAUGGUCAG
rnacentral:rRNA from 1 species